rnacentral:rRNA from 1 species
GACGAACCGAGCGAACGUUGUUCGGAAUCACUGGGCUUAAAGGGCGCGUAGGCGGGUGCUCAAGUCUGUGGUGAAAUCCUCCGGCUCAACCGGAGAACUGCCAUGGAUACUGGGUGUCUCGAGGGAGGUAGGGGCGUGCGGAACUAUUGGUGGAGCGGUGAAAUGCGUUGAUAUCAAUAGGAACUCCGGUGGCGAAGGCGGCACGCUGGACCUCUUCUGACGCUGAGGCGCGAAAGCCAGGGGAGCAAACGGG